rnacentral:rRNA from 1 species
AAUCAACGCUGGCGGCGUGCCUCAGACAUGCAAGUCGAACGAUUAAAGCUCUCUUCGGAGAGUGCAUAGAGUGGCGCACGGGUGAGUAACACGUAAGUAAUCUACCCUCGAGUGGGGAAUAACGUUCGGAAACGGACGCUAAUACCGCAUAACGCAGCGGCACCGCAAGGUGACAGUUGUUAAAGGAGCAAUCCGCUUGAGGAGGAGCUUGCGGCAGAUUAGCUAGUUGGUAAGGUAAUGGCUUACCAAGGCUACGAUCUGUAUCCGGUCUAAGAGGACGGUCGGACACACUGACACUGAAUAACGGGUCAGACUCCUACGGGAGGCAGCAGUCGGGAAUUUUGGGCAAUGGGCGAAAGCCUGACCCAGCAACGCCGCGUGAAGGAUGAAGUAUUUCGGUAUGUAAACUUCGAAAGAAUAGGAAGAAUAAAUGACGGUACUAUUUAUAAGCUCCGGCUAACUACGUG